CUCAUUUUAGUGUUUUAGAAUGAUUUUUGCUUUCUGAUCGCCUAUUUGUGAUAAUGCAGGGUCCAGUUCUUGAAAGGGUGGGAAUGUGUCCAAGAAGACAAAGGCAUCGACCCGCCAAUUCUUCGCUACAAAUUCAAACAGCACUAGGGUGAGAUCAGUGGGCUUGAGAGUAGCAUCAUCCUUCAAACAAGAUCAAUAUUUUGCCACAACUCAUAAUGAGAUCGAGAUUUCAUUGUACAUGCAUCCACAAGGCAUCUUUUUAUAUUUUUUAACAUGAGUGUACUGAUGCAAUGUCGUUCUGUUUUGUCAUUUUAUUUUUGUUAUAUCUUGGAGAUGUCGAGCUUGAUCAAUAUUUUGCCAUUGAAUUUAUGAGUGGCCUAUAUGUUCACUGUUUGCCCAUUUCUUCAGUUAAGCUGAAUGCAAACCAUCGAGAUGGUCCAGGUCGAGGACCUCCAUGGCACCUACGUUGGUGUGGGUUAUGCCACCUCAUCGUGACUGUCAUCGAUUGGGCCUCCGAGGUAUAUGUUACUUUGUUGUUGCUUGGUGAAUGCUUAUAUAUGUUUUUAUUCGUCUAUGCUGGUGAGGUUAGUUUUA
rnacentral:misc_RNA from 1 species